UAGGGUCUGAUCGCUGCCUGAGACACCAUAUCGGUACUCCUCAGAGUUGAGAAUAGACGCCUUGAUGGCUCCUCUGGCAGUUCUUGAUGACCAUGGAUGAGCUAAUGGCUGUGGUCUCAAUGGUGGCUUCUUGAGGAGCAUGCAGAGAAAUUGCUUUAGCCUCUGAUAAAUAAAACAGACUGCGAGGAAAAUUACAGCGAGGAAAUUACAGACAUCAUCUCCUUUGAACAGGGAAAAGGUAACAGGUUCUCCACAGGCAACCCAUUUAUCAGAACCACGUGGACAUCUUUCAACUAUCCUGGACAACAACCAUGUUAUUUCUUAGCCAUUGGACUUCCACCUUAUCUUUAUUGAGUUCUGCUAAAAAGACAACAUCAGCACCAGGGGCUUCAAGAAUAUCUUGUGGAGGCCUGAUGAUCUCAACAGGAAUUUCUGGAAAGAAAAUGUGAAAUAAAUACAAAUAUGUUUACAUUUUGAUUAACAAUUUUAAAAAAUUGGUAACAUUAGAAUUGUUUUUUCACUUAAUAUGUACCUUCCACAAAAAGUCUAGCACGAGACUUCCUGUCUUCUACCCCGCAAGCAUAUUCACACUCAUCAUCCAGCCUGCAAUCUUUUAUAAUGAGUCUGUGUAUACUUCCAUCUUUUUCAAAUUUGUAUCUAAAGGAGACAUUGGAUUAUCAGUUAGCUUGCAAU
rnacentral:lncRNA from 1 species